rnacentral:lncRNA from 1 species
AAAAAUUGCUAUCAUUUCUUGCCUGUAACCUGCGGUUUAUUCUGUGCAUAUUCGUGGUAGAUAUUUGUGGAAGAAGCCAUUCACAAGUAAAGAGAAGUGCCAGGGAAAGGAGCUUUCAGACCGGCUGCUGUGGGAGGUUGACUCAUUGGAGUGCAGGAGAAGCCGGAGACAGCCCUGAGACCAGAAGAGAUGAUGAACAGAGGUACAAGGUCAUGACAAAUGUAGUGUGGCUACACAGAAGUGGUGCAACUGGAGCUCCCUCAGGGCAUGAGAAGCGAGCAGAAGCAAGAGGAGCACAUAGUGACCUUCACCUUGUGUAAUGGAGGUACACAUGUCUGUUUGCCCUGCAGCAGUGAAGGCCACCCUUGAAUUACAGAUGAGCCAAGCUGUGUUACACCUGCUGCGUUCACCCACAGAGACACUGUCUAUGUGCUGCAGACUCAUUCAUCUCGCAAGAAAUUUAAGGGCUUUUAGGUACUCCUGCUGUAAUGCUGGGUGUCACUUCAGAGAUCUUCAGAGGUCGCUGAGUUGCAAGUAGCUGUCAAUUCGUGAGACCUGAGUAGGCAUCAUGUAGCAGUUUGGCACGCAGCACUACUGCAAUCAACACUAAUUUUGCCUAUAAACAGAUUCUUCUUGAGCUGUCGAAAAUGGCAUCACUUUCUGAGCAAUUUACUUUCUCUACCUUCCAGUAUGCCACAAGCCAUUCUACUCACUGAAGACACUAUACAGGAACAAAACAAACCUUUCAGAUUCUGGAAAUCACAUUGUUAACUUCAAAAUUUAAGCAAAGGGUUAUCCAUAUAAAGACAGUGGGUGAGAACUGCAUAUUUAUUCUAAAUAGAUCCUGAAAGAUCAUGCAAUUGUUUGUCAUCAACCUUCAGA